CCUACUUUACCUUUGUGCUCCUUCUGAUUCUUUCUGCUCCUUUACCUUUGUGCUCCUUGCUGUCCCUUUGUGCUCCUUCCUGCUCCUUGCAGGCCCUUCCUGCUCAUUCUCCUACUUUAUGUUUGUGCUCCUUCUGCCCCUUCCAGCUCAUUUCUGACCCUUUCUGUUCAUUUCUAUAUAUCUAUAGGCUGCUGCCCCCCCAAAUCUAUAGGCUGCGGC